rnacentral:rRNA from 1 species
GAUGAACGCUAGCUACAGGCUUAACACAUGCAAGUCGAGGGGUAACGAGAGGAAAGCUUGCUUUCCUUGUUGACGACCGGCGCACGGGUGAGUAACGCGUAUCCAACCUGCCCCCAACUAGGGAAUAACCUUGCGAAAGUAAGACUAAUACCCUAUAAUUUCCUCAGAUGUCAUCUGACGAGGAAUAAAGAUUUAUCGGUUGUGGAUGGGGAUGCGUCUGAUUAGCUUGUUGGCGGGGUAACGGCCCACCAAGGCAACGGUCAGUAGGGGUUCUGAGAGGAAGGUCCCCCACAUUGGAUCUGAGACACGGUCCAAACUCCUACGGGAGGCAGCAGUGAGGAAUAUUGGUCAAUGGGCGGAAGCCUGAACCAGCCAAGUAGCGUGCAGGAUGACGGCCCUAUGGGUUGUAAACUGCUUUUAUACAGGAAUAAAGUUAGCCACGUGUGGUUAUUUGUAGGUACUGUAUGAAUAAGGACCGGCUAAUUCCGUGCCAGCCGCCGCCGUAA